rnacentral:rRNA from 1 species
AGCAUAUCAAUAAGCGGAGGAAAAGAAACUAACAAGGAUUCCCCUAGUAACGGCGAGUGAAGCGGGAUGAGCUCAAAUUUGAAAUCUGGCUGGUUUACUAGUCCGAGUUGUAAUUUAAAGAAGCGUUUUCGGUGGCAGCCUGGGUAUAAAUCCUUUGGAAUAGGGUAUCAUAGAGGGUGAGAAUCCCGUCUUUGACUCAGUGCAUGCUACUAUGUGAUACGUUUUCAAAGAGUCGAGUUGUUUGGGAAUGCAGCUCAAAAUGGGUGGUAAAUUUCAUCUAAAGCUAAAUAUUGGCGAGAGACCGAUAGCGAACAAGUACCGUGAGGGAAAGAUGAAAAGAACUUUGAAAAGAGAGUUAAACAGUGCGUGAAAUUGUUGAAAGGGAAACGUUUGACACCAGUCAUGUGGGUGGAAAAUCAGUCUUUUGCAUUGGGGAGUUGUAAAGGUUCGGACCGCAAGGCCGGCUUUUGCUUCAUCCUUGGUGUAAGUGAUGCACUUUUUCAUCUACAGGUCAACAUCAGUUUCUUUUGCUGGACAAAACUCCGAGAGAAGGUAGCAGCUUAGGCUGUGUUAUAGCUCUGGAGCGAUACAGUGAAGGGGACUGAGGUUUUCGCAGCGUGUGCUUUCGGGCAAGGCUGGAUGGGUGCUAUGGGAUCGUUCGGGGUACAAUGCCUGGCAUUUUGCUUCGUGUCUUUUCUUUGCUCGCUCAACUCAGCUCUUCCACGCUUAGGAUGUUGACUUAAUGGUUUUAAACGACCCGUC